rnacentral:piRNA from 1 species
UGCUAAUGAAUCUUUUCCAAAUGACCCAGA